rnacentral:tRNA from 1 species
ACUUAAAUAGCUUAUAUUAAGAGCAUGAUAUUGAAGAUAUUAAGGAAAUUAAUUUAAUUUUUAAGUA